rnacentral:rRNA from 1 species
GAUGAACGCUGGCGGCGUGCUUAAUACAUGCAAGUCGAACGAACAGACGAGGAGCUUUCUCCUGUGAGUUUAGCAGCGGAGAGGGGAUGAACACGUGGUUAGUCUACCUAUCAGACUGGGAGGAUAACGGCAAACCGGAGUGGAUACCAGAGAAUAUAUUGAACCGGAUGGUUCAAUGGUGAAAGACGGUUUUUGUGUCACUUAGAGAUGGAUCCGCGCCGGAUUAGCUAGUUGGUGAGGUAACGGCUUACCAAGGCAGCGAUGCGUAGCCGACCUGAGAGGGGGAUCGGCCACAAUAGAACGGAGCAGCGGUCCAGACUACUACGGGGGGAGGCAGUAGGGAAUAUUCCGCCAUGGGCGAAGGCAUGACGGAGCAACGCCGCGUGGGUGAUGAAGGUCUUCGGCUCGUAGAAAACUGUUAUUAGGGGUGAACCAGUGUGUACGUAACUGUGGACGGCUUGACGGUACCUAAACAGAAAGCCACGGCUAACUACGUG